rnacentral:tRNA from 1 species
GUCCCUGUAGCUCAGCGGAUUAGAGCGCUUCCCUCCGAAGGAAGAGGCCGGAGGUUCAAAUCCUCUCAGGGACG